UACGUAGGGCGCAAGCGUUGUCCGGAAUUAUUGGGCGUAAAGAGCUCGUAGGCGGUUUGUCGCGUCUGCUGUGAAAACCUAAGGCUCAACCUUGGGCUUGCAGUGGGUACGGGCAGACUAGAGUGCGGUAGGGGUGACUGGAAUUCCUGGUGUAGCGGUGGAAUGCGCAGACAUCAGGAGGAACACCGAUGGCGAAGGCAGGUCACUGGCCGCAACUGACGCUGAGGAGCGAAAGCGUGGGGAGCGA
rnacentral:rRNA from 1 species